GUAGUGGUGGUUCAGUAGUAGAACUCUCACCUUUCAUGUAGGAGACACAAGUUUGAUCCCUGACCAAUGUA
rnacentral:tRNA from 1 species